CCGCCGAAACCGCCGAAACCUGGCUGCUGGAAACCACCAGGACGGGGACGGAAAGGUCGCUGAGGCAUAGCCACGGCAACAGCCACAAUAAGAGCGAGAAUAAAUGUUACCUGUUUAACAACGAAAGAAAAGAAAGACUCAAUCGUGAAGACGUGCAGCAAAGCUGUUUUCCACCGCUGCUUCCGCACUUGCUUGGCCGGUCGAAGGGGACUGAGGGGAGCCCCGUUUCGCUUCCGGAAAUUAAAAUUUGGUACCAAAUCAGCCCUUCUUCCAGCGCUACCAGUUCCAGCUCUAAUACCGAAUCCAGAAUCACCUGAUUCAACUCAUUUUUUUGGAAAUCUUUCGUACGUCAUCAACUAGUAGCAGUGUACACCGUAUACAAUGUACAAUUAUUCGGUUCGAUUAUCUUAUCAUCUGAACAAAAAUUUGGGAUAGUUCUCUCAUAGUUUUAGCACCAUGGUUUUCGAAUGCGAUUGUUUUGCAGCGCAAAUAACUAGUAAAGCCUUGAGCUGAACCAUUUUUUUCUUUAUGUAACAAAAAACUCCGCAUUUCGAGAGAGAACAGAUUGCACUAGUUGUAGAAGUUACGUGAUUUAAUAUAAUAGACUAUAGUAUUUUCCAUUCAUCUCUUAAAAGAUUAAUUAUGGAUUGAUCUCU